UGACAUCAGAUCAGACGUGGUGAUCCAUUGAAUUUAAGCGUAUUAGUGAGCGGAGGAAAAGAGACCAACCAGGAUUCCCUUAGUAACAGUGAGUGAAGAGGGAAGAGCCCAGUGCUGAAUCCCUGCCUUGUGGUGGGGUGUGGGAAAUGUUGCAUAUGGAAGGCCCUGUCCCCGGCACCGCUGGUGGGUGGCCCAAGUCCUGAUCUAGGCCAAGACUGUUGGUGGUGUGAGGCUGGUAGCCACCCCUGGCGCGCUGGGCCCGGGUCUUCCUGGAGUUGGGUUGCUUGGGAAUGCAGACCAAAGGGGGUGGUAAACAUCUAAGACUAAAUACUGACACGAGAGCGAUAGUGAAGUACCAUAAGGGAAAGUUGAAAAGAACUUUGAAGAGAGGGCAUGAAACCAUUAAGAGGUAAAUGGGUGGGGUCCGAGCAGUCUGCUUGGAGGAUUCAACCCGGCUGCUGGUCUGGCCAUGUUGGUGGCCCGGUGGAUCUUUUCUGCCCCCUGUUCCUCCUGACCCUCCCACCCGCCCUCCCUCCCCCACUGCCCCUCCUCCUCCCCGGAGCGGGUGGGCUCCGGUGGGAGUGUGGGCAGGCGGGGCCGGGAUCGGUGGAGGACUGUCCCCCAACUGGCGACUGGCGGCCGCUGGGUGCAUUUCCACCGCGGCGGUGCACUGUGACUGGCUCUGGGAUGGGUGGGAAAGCCCGGUGGGGAAGGGUGGGUCUGGGGGCCCCUUCUGUCCUUCCCCAUCUUCUCCCAGGCUGCGUGUCCUCCCUCGGGAGGCCGUGCGGGUCGGGGUGGUGGUGGUGGUGGGACCAAAUCUCCUGAGUUACAGAACCCCUGCAGCAGCCAUUGUCAAAUCCCAGGGCCGAGGGAGAGAGACCCAUUGUUGUGCUCUCCCCUGCCAGUGCCCUCCCCCCUGGGGGUGCGCCGGUGUCUCCUGUUGGGGAGCCGGGACACCCCUCCCACUGUGUCUGCUCUCUCAACCCCCUACCUGCAUCCCCGGUGACGGGGAGCUGUGUAGGGGGAUAGGGCAGACUGUCCCCAGUGUGCCAUGGGCGGGUCAUGCUGUCGGCCCGGGGGAGUUCUCUUGGGGCCACGCAGACGUCCCUCGGUGUAGCAAGCACAUGGGAUCGGUGGUGACGUCGGCUCCCCACCCGACCCAUCUUGAAACACGGACCAAGGUUAACACGUGCAUGAGUCAGGGGCUCGCACGAAAGCCGCUGUGGAGCCAUGAAGGUGAAGGCUGGUGUGCUCACUGGCUGAGGUGGGAUCCCGAGGCCUCUCCAGUCUGCCGACAGCGUACCACCAUCCCAUCUCACCUGCCGCGCCAGGGAGGUGGAGCACGAGCGCAUGUGUUAGGACCUGAGAGAUGGUGAACUAUGCUUGGACAGGGUGGAGCCAGAGGAAACUCUGGUGGAGGUCCGUAGCGGCCCUGAUGUAGAAAUCGGUCUUUCGACUUGGGUAUAGGGGUGAAAGACUAAUGGAAUCAUCUAGUAGCUGGUUCCCUCUGAAGUUUCCCUCAGGAUACCUGGUGCUCUCGCAAACGUAACCUCACCAUGCAGUUUUAUCCGGCAAAGCCAAUGAUUAGAGGUCUUGGGGAGGAAAUGAUCUCAACCUAUUCUGAAACUUUAAGUGUGUAAGAAGCCUGGCUCACUGGCAUGGAGCCAGGCAUGGAAUGAGAGUGCCUAGUGGGCUACUUUUGGUAAGUAGAACUGGCACUGUGGGAUGAACCGAAUGCCGGGUUAAGGUGCCCAAAGCCAACAGUCAUCAGACCCCAGAAAACGUGUUGGUUGAUAUAGACAGCAGGACGGUGGCCAUGGAAGUUGGAAUCUGCUAAGGAUUGUGUAAUAACUUACCUGCCAAAUCAACUAGCCCUGAAAAUGGAUGGUGCUGGAGCGUCGGGCCCAUACACGGCUGUUGCUGGCAGUUGAGAGUGGACGGGAGCGGUGGUGGCAGUAUGCCCGUGUGAGUGUGGUGGGGGUCCUCUCCUCCCACCUCCCCUGGAGCCCCAGGGACUCUACGCCAUGACGAGUAGGAGGGCCGCUGCAGUAAGUUUUGAAGCCUAGGGCGUGGGCCUGGGUGGAGCCGCCACAGGUGCAGAUCUUGGUUGUAGUACCAAAUUUUCAAAUGAGAACUUUGAAGGCCAAAGUGGAGAAGGGUUCCAUGUGAACAGCAGUUGAACAUAGGUCGGUCGGUCCUGAGAGAUGGGUGAGUGUCGUCCCGAAGGGAAGGGUGAUGGCCUCCAUUGCCCUCAGCCGAUUGAAAGGGAGUCGGGUUCAGAUCCCUGAAUCCAGAGUGGUGGAGAUGGGCACCACGAGGCGUCCAGUGUGGUAAUAUAACCGAUCCUGGAGAAGCAUGUGGGUGCCCCAGGGAGGGUUCUCUUUUCUUUGUGAAGGACAGGGCACCUGGAGUGGCAUUGCCCUGAGAGAGGGACCUGUACCUUGCAAAGCAUCGUGGUUCUGCUGGUGUCUGGUGAGCUCUGGCUGGCCCUUGAAAAUCCAGGGGAGACGGUGUAAGUCUCACACAGGGCCAUACCCAUGUCUACAGCAGGUCUCCAAGGUGAACAGACUCUGGCCUGUUGGAACAAUGUAGGUAAAAGUAGUCAGCAAGCCAGAUCCAUAACUUUGGGAUAAGUAUUGGCUGUAAGGGCUGGGUGCGUGCCGCCGCUGGACGAGGUGCUGCCGCCUCCCCACUACCCGGGCGAGCCUGUCGUGGCCCUCCCCUGCCCCACCCCAUGUGCCGCUCGCUCCCUCCACUGCCCCCUCUCUCCCCAUCCUCCCCCUCCCUGGGGGUGGCAGUGGCCAUAGGGCACUGGUGGCAGGGUAUGAUCUCCUGUGAGGGGGGCCUGGGAGGCUAGUGUCGGUGGUGACUCUGGACGCAAGUUGGGCCCUUCCCAUGGAUUGCCCCAGUUGUGGCCGCCCAUGGGGAGUCAGGUGGGUGCUGGUGUGCCCUGUCUUGCUCUGUGCCAUGGUGCAUGUCCACUCAGGCAGGGAGCGAUCUGGUGUUGGUGGGUGGUGGGUGGUGUGUGGGGUGGUUCGUUCCCCCACCUCCCCCCGGCCCCAUCUGUCUCCCGUCCCCCACCCCGUGGUGGUGGCGGGCUACUGGCUGGUUCCUAUCCCCAGGACCAUCGUUCUGUGCAGUGCCUCGGCUGGUGCUUAGCAGCCAACUUAGAGCUGGUGUGCACCAGGGGAACCCGACCAUUUAAAGAAAGCAUCGCGAAGGCCCUCAGGGAGUGUUGUGAAAUGAUUUCUGCCCAGUGCUCUGAAUGUCAAAAUGAAGAAAUUCAAUGAAGCACGGGUAAAUGGCAGGAGUAACUGACUCUCUUAAGGUAGCCAAAUGUCCCGUCAACUAACUAGUGAUGUACAUGAACGGAUGAACGAGAUUCUCACUGUCCCUACCUACUUGCUCUCCAGUGAAACAACAGCCAAGGGAAUGGGAUUGGUGGAAUCAGUGGGGAAUGAAGACUCUGUUGAGCUGGCUCUAGUCUGGCAUGGUGAAGAGAUGGGAGAGGUGUAGAAUAAGUGGGAGGUCUCCGGUGCCCCCCUGUCCCCGUGAGGGGGCAGGGUGGGUUCCUGUGGGCUGCCCGUGGACUAUUAAUACUCUGAUCCUUUUUUCACUGACACGGUGAGGCAGGGGGUGAGGCCCAAGGGGCUCUGCCUUCUGGUGCCAAGUGCCCAGCUGUGCGCCGGCCGGGUGUGAUCCAUUCCAGGGACAGUGCCAGGUGGGGAGUUUGUGGCAGUACGCCUGUCGAACGGUAAUGCAGAUGUCCUAAGACGAGUUCAGGGAGGACAGAAACUUCUUGAGGAGAAGGGCAAAAGCUCGCUUGAUCUUGAUUUUCAGUGCGAAUACAGACUGAAAGCUGGGCUUUGAUGCUCCUUCUGAUCCUUUUAAGCAGGAGAUUGUCAGGAAGUUACCAUGGGGAUAACUGGCUUGUUGCAGCCAAGUGUUCAUAGAGACGUUGCUUUUUGAUCAUUUGAUGUUGGCUCUUCCUAUCAUUGUGAGGUAGAAUUCACCCAGCAUUGGAUUGUUCAACUAAUAGGGCAUGUGAGCUGGAUUUAGACCGUCGUGAAACAGGUUAGUUUUACCCUGUGUGAUGUGUUGCCAUGGUACCUGCUCAGCAUGAGAGGAACCGCAGGUUUAGACAUAUGCUUGUUUGAGGAGCCAAUAGGGUGAAGCUACCAUCUUUUGGAUUAUGACUGAAUGCCUCUAAGUCAGAAUCCCACCCAGGUGGAAGGAUACAGCAAUGUUGUGGAGCCUUGGUUGGCCUUGGACAGCUGGUUCUCCAUCCCUGCUGGUAGGCUGCAGAGCCCUGGGUUGGGUGUGUCCCACCAUGUGCCUGGACUGGGUCCGGUGCAGAGUGCUCUUCAUCCUGGGAAGGGUGUGGCUGGAAAGGCGACCUACUCGCCCUUCAUGCAACACACAUUCGGAGGGAACUUGGUGCUAAACCAUUCGUAGACGACUUGCUUCCAGGUCGGAGUUUCAUAAGUAGCAGGGCAGCUCCCUUGCUGUGAUCUAUUGAAAGUCAGCCCUUGACACAAGGGUUUGU
rnacentral:rRNA from 1 species